UGGGGAAUAUUGCACAAUGGGGGGAACUCUGAUGCAGCGACGCCGCGUGAACGAAGAAGGCUUUCGAGUCGUAAAGUUCUUUUAUAUGGGAAGAUAAUGACGGUACCAUAAGAAAAAGCCCCGGCUAACUACGUGCCAGCAGCCGCGGUAAUACGUAGGGGGCUAGCGUUGUCCGGAAUCACUGGGCGUAAAGGGUUCGCAGGCGGAAAUGCAAGUCAGGUGUAAAAGGCAGUAGCUUAACUACUGUAAGCAUUUGAAACUGCAUAUCUUGAGAAGAGUAGAGGUAAGUGGAAUUUUUAGUGUAGCGGUGAAAUGCGUAGAUAUUAAAAAGAAUACCGGUGGCGAAGGCGACUUACUGGGCUCAUUCUGACGCUGAGGAACGAAAGCGUGGGUAGCAAACAGG
rnacentral:rRNA from 2 species